GACGAACGCUGGCGGCGUGCCUAAUACAUGCAAGUCGAGCGCUGAAGGUUGGUGCUUGUUCCAACUGGAUGAGCAGCGAACGGGUGAGUAACGCGUGGGGAAUCUGCCUUUGAGCGGGGGACAACAUUUGGAAACGAAUGCUAAUACCGCAUAAAAACUUUAAACACAAGUUUUAAGUUUGAAAGAUGCAAUUGCUUCAAUCAAAGAUGAUCCCGCGUUGUAUUAGCUAGUUGGUGAGGUAAAGGCUCACCAAGGCGAUGAUACAUAGCCGACCUGAGAGGGUGACCGCCCCAAUGGGACCUGGAAACGGCUCAAGCCCCCUCGGGAGGGAGCAGUAGGGGAACCUCGGCCAAUGACGAAAGGCUGACCGGGCAACGCCGCGGGAGUGAAUAAGGUUUUCCGAUCGUAAAACCCCGUUGGUAGGGAAGAACGUUAGUGGGAGGGGAAAGCUCAUGAAGUGACGGUAACUACCCAGAAAGCGACGGCUAACUACGUG
rnacentral:rRNA from 1 species